GACGUAGGGGGCCAGCGUUGCUCGGAAUUACUGGGCGUAAAGGGUUCGUAGGCGGUGCGGCAAGUCGGGAGUGAAAUCGUCUGGGCUUAACUCAGGGGCUGCUUCCGAAACUGCCGUGCUUGAGUGCGGGAGAGGCGAGUGGAAUUGCAGGUGUAGCGGUGAAAUGCGUAGAUAUCUGCAGGAACACCCGUGGCGAAGGCGGCUCGCUGGACCGCAACUGACGCUGAGGAACGGAAAGCUAGGGGAGCAAACAGG
rnacentral:rRNA from 1 species